rnacentral:lncRNA from 1 species
CAAACCAAAUCACCAGAAACCGAGAUCAGAACCAGUUUCCACAACUCACAUUAACAAGGUUCGAAGUUAUGAGCAUCUCAAAAGCACCUUAUUAGCUUAAUCAAUCAAAAUCUCAACUCCGUGGGAGAAACCCAAUUGGACAAUUGGGGACUCGCGCAUCAAUCAAUCCUCACACUCCAAAGGUUUGAGCUUCAAAACCACAAUUAGGGUCGAUUCCAAGUACGAUCCAAUCAAAACCCUAAAAAAACCAAAUUGACAAAAAAAAAAAACAAAAUGUCAAGUGAAAUCAUCUAACUUCUCAAACGAAACGUAAAGUCGAAGCUAUGCACCAAUUCUCUCCAUGUGGGUUUGAAGUAAACAAAACCAAAAUUAUCAGAAAACCCAAAAAAAAUUCAAGCUUUAUAGUAUCUGGGUGGAUCCAAUGUCAAAACUUUCGAACAAAAUUCACUCAAAAAUCUAAACUUUUUAGUAAAGAAAUCAAACGAUGUUGCUACAAAACAGCUUUGGUUUUACGAAAAAUCAAAAACUUGCGAUUUCGAAGAUCUCACAGUGAGAGAUACCAAUCUCUUUCUCUCUCACCCAUCUCUCUUCCAAUCUAUAUGUGUUGGCAUAUGUAUGUAUAUAUAUAUACCUUUUCUUUGUGUGUAUAUAUGUAAAUGUUCUUCUAGGAAGGUUUUAUUUUUGAAAAAAAAAAAAAAGAACUUUUACGGGUUAAUUUUUGAUGGGUUGGCUCUUGAUGUGGGAAGAAGAAGAAUCUCUCUCUCUCUUGUUUCUCUCCCUAAAACUCCCCAGCG